rnacentral:lncRNA from 1 species
GGCUAAGGAGCUUCCUCCUCUUGUUUCCAUUUCUUGGUUUAUGGUGACAAGAUUCAUGAGGUUUUGGGAAUGAAUUGAUGUGCUAACCUCAGCAUCCACAUUGCGUUCAUGUUUUUUGUUUCCGACGAGAGUAAACGGACGAACUCCGGCGAGUUCAAGGUUCAAUUCUCUGUGAAAUCUCCCACAUUUCACUUCGGUAAGUUCUUGAUCCUUUUUUAAGGGUUGUUAACUUAAAAAUCACGCUUGAAAUCUUUGUUCAAAUGCAUGCAUUUGUUCGGUGCAUUUUUCCAGAAUAUGCGCGAGGAACUCCGGCCAACUUCUUUCAAAUCUGAGGCAAUUGGUCCAAAUUUGAAUUUAGGUAAUCCCCUAGAACUUAAUUCAUGUUUUGAGUUGCUUUUAGACUGUGAAAUCGUUGAAAUCGAGCUCGGGGAGGCCUUGACAAUGUUCUGGCUUAUUCUCUGUAGUUUCGGCGGCCAAUGACGAUCACCGUUAACUUUGACGGCAGGAGCUAAAAUUACGUUAACUCUAACGGAAUCUUCGAACUAUAGAGGUACAUUCCAUUAAUUUUUAUUAACCUCACCACACCGGUGCGUGGCUCUGACGACGCGUCUACUCACCAAAUCGCGAUGUUGAGUACGACGGUACCGCGGCGGUGCAUGGUGGCACGUGGCUGGAGCACAGGGUCGCAUGGCGGCGCGUGAAGUAAACACGAGUAAUGCACUAUUUUUGAAAUUAAACACGGUUGCUGCACUAUUUCUAAAACUAAACAUGAGUAGUUCAUUAUUUCUGAAACUGACUAUUUUUGAAAUUAAACAUGGG